UAAAAUUUGCUAAAGUUCUCGAAAAGAUGGGAGCUAAAGUUACAAGGACAUAAAACAGUGUCACAGUUACCGGGCCUCCACGAGAUUCCUCCGGUCGGAAAGUGUUGCAAGGAAUUGAUGUCAACAUGAACAAGAUGCCAGAUGUUGCACUAUUUGCUAAUGGUCCUACUACUAUUGGAGCCGUGGCAAGUUGGAGAGUUAAAGAAACAGAAAGAAUGAUAGCAAUCUGCGAAAGCUCGGAGCAACAGUUGAAGAAGGUCCUGCUUCUGCUGCAUUUGUAGACUUUUCUG